rnacentral:rRNA from 1 species
UACAGGGGGGCAAGCGUUGUUCGGAAUUACUGGGCGUAAAGGGUCUGUAGGUGGCCAACUAAGUCAGACGUGAAAUCCCUCAGCUUAACUGGGGAACUGCGUCUGAUACUGGAUGGCUCGAGUGUGGGAGAGGAAUGCGGAAUUCCAGGUGUAGCGGUGAAAUGCGUAGAUAUCUGGAGGAACACCGGUGGCGAAGGCGGCAUUCUGGACCACAACUGACACUGAGAGACGAAAGCCAGGGAGCAAACGGG